GAUGAACGCUAGCGGCAGGCUUAACACAUGCAAGUCGAGGGGCAGCGCGGGUAGCAAUACCUGGCGGCGACCGGCAAACGGGUGCGGAACACGUACAGAACCUACUUUGAUCUGGGGCAUAGCCCGAAGAAAUUCGGAUUAACUCCCCAUAAUAUUAUUGGAUGGCAUCAUUUGGUAAUUAAAAAUUUAUUGGAUCAAGAUGGCUGUGCGUCCCAUUAGCUAGUUGGUAGGGUAACGGCCUACCAAGGCGACGAUGGGUAGCUGGUGUGAGAGCACGACCAGCCACACGGGCACUGAGACACGGGCCCGACUCCUACGGGAGGCAGCAGUGAGGAAUAUUGGUCAAUGGACGCAAGUCUGAACCAGCCAUGCCGCGUGAAGGAUGAAGGCCUUCUGGGUUGUAAACUUCUUUUAUCUGGGAAGAAAACUACGGUUUCUACUGUAGCCGACGGUACCAGAGGAAUAAGCACCGGCUAACUCCGUGCCAGCCGCCGCUGUAAGAC
rnacentral:rRNA from 1 species